AAAAAAAAAAAAAAAGCUUGCUCCUAAUAUAAUCUUUCAAUACAAACCAAUCAAGACAAAGCAUAUCCAUUUUGUCUACCAGUAAAAAAAGGGUUAACAUUGUUGGGAAUGUUAUACCAAAGUGGAAAAUAUAAGAUUGAAAGGGCAGAUACAAAUGGCUGGGUUGCAAUAUUGAGAUGGCUAGUCAUUUAAUAAACUCAUAUAAUUUAACUAGCAAUCCUUCCUUCAUAUUAAUAUGGUAUGAGAACCCUAUUUGGGUGUGUGCAUUUCAGGCCGAUUGCUUAUUCCAUUGGAAAAAUAUAAGAUUGAGGAUAAAUAAAAGUGAUUGGGUUGCAAGUUGAUGUGUGAAGGAAGUUAAUCAUUUAUAUAAACUCGAAUUAAUAAUGAAUAAAAAUGUAAUUUAAACAACACUUUCUGUCUAAAUUUAACAAACGUGCCAAAAAUGUGACGCAAAA
rnacentral:misc_RNA from 1 species